rnacentral:rRNA from 1 species
CCUACGGGCGGCAGCAGUGGGGAAUAUUGGGCAAUGGACGCAAGUCUGACCCAGCAACGCCGCGUGAAGGAAGAAGGCUCUCGGGUUGUAAACUUCUUUUAAGGGGGAAGAGCAGAAGACGGUACCCCUUGAAUAAGCCAUGGCUAACUACGUGCCAGCAGCCGCGGUAAUACGUAGGUGGCCAGUGUUGCCCGGAUUUACUGGGUGUAACGGGCGUGCAGCCGGGAAGACAAGUCAGAUGUGAAAUCCCGCGGCUCAACCGCGGAACUGCAUUUGAAACUGGUUGUCUUGAGUAUCGGAGAGGUAAGCGGAAUUCCUAGUGUAGCGGUGAAAUGCGUAGAUAUUAGGAAGAACACCAGUGGCGAAGGCAGAUUACUGGACGGCAACUGACGGUGAGGCGCGAAAGCGUGGGGAGCAAACAGGAUUAGAUACCCCAGUAGUC